UACGUAGGGGGCUAGCGUUGUCCGGAAUCAUUGGGCGUAAAGCGCGUGUAGGCGGCCCGGUAAGUCCGCUGUGAAAGUCGGGGGCUCAACCCUCGAAUGCCGGUGGAUACUGUCGGGCUAGAGUACGGAAGAGGCGAGUGGAAUUCCUGGUGUAGCGGUGAAAUGCGCAGAUAUCGGGAGGAACACCUAUGGCGAAGGCAGCUCGCUGGGACGUUACUGACGCUGAGACGCGAAAGCGUGGGGAGCAAACAGG
rnacentral:rRNA from 1 species